CGCACCUCUGGUGUACCGGUUGUUCCGCCAGGAGCAUCGCCGGGUCGCUAAGUGCGGAAGGGAUAACCGCUGAAAGCAUCUAAGCGGGAAGCCCCCUUCAAGACUAGGUAUCCCUAUCAGAUCCCUGGAAGACCACCAGGUUGAUAGGCUGGGUGUGGAAGCGUGGCAACACGUGAAGCUAACCAGUACUAAUUGAUCGAUCGGCUUGAUUGA
rnacentral:rRNA from 1 species